UGUCCGUAUAUCCGAUGUGACACGCCAAAACUUUACACCCUUGGAUCUAAACACAGCCUAAAUAAAAGAGGGCAGCUACCCCACGGAAUUCCGUUACUGCACGAUAGUCACGGGAUAAAAUUAGCACCCAACAGAUUUAAUACCGAUUCCUUUUCUGAUCGAGCCCAACGUUGUGCACGCGAUUCCCCUACUCGCCGCCUCCGCGUAGAUACCUCGUCGGCGGGGGCGCGGAGCGCCGCAGCAACUACCAGCCAGAACCCGGCGCAGAGCGCGAGAAGGAUCCUUCCCGCAACCAAAACCCGGCUCGGUAUCGCGCGCCUCUGCACGCGAUACAUCGCCGGCGGCGCCUUCAACUACAACAAGCAGGAGUGCUCCUUCCCCUAAAUCCAGUGCCUCCGCGCGCGAUACCUUGCUGGCAACAGCGCGUGCACCUAGUCGCAGUAGUCCUCAGCAAAAAUCCAUCUCAGGUGCCGACCUCCAUCGCCGGAUUUCCUUUUGCGUACCUCACUCAGGUAUCUAUUCAAGUAGUUUUUAGGGUAUCAGCUUCUCUAGUUUUUAGGUAUCAUUUUUUUUCUCUAGUUAGGUAUCAGCUUAUCUCUAUUUUUCAAGGUAUAAUGGUUUGUGUUCUGCUUGUUAUGUGUGGGGUGAAAAACUAACUAGAAAAAUGUGUGGAUUAUUCAUGCAAUUUUAGUUAAAAAGUUUUUUAUGGCUGAAAGAAAAGAGAAUGAAUUCCUCGGUUGGAUCUGCUGGAAGAAUGAUGGAAGAGGUAGCAAAUGAGGGGAAUGUUGUCCUUAGUGAAAGAAGUAUGAAAGAGCAACAUAGUGACAAGGAUGAUGUUUGUGUUGAAAGAGCAAUGGAACAAGUAUCAAGUCAUGAUGAUGAUGUGUUGAGGGAAGCACUGCUUGAAACUGGGUUGUUUACAGGUGCCAUGAGCAUUGAUCAAAUUGAUGCAGGUGAUGAGUUUGAAAUACAAGAUGAGUUUGGACAUGAAGAUGGAGAAACUGAAGAUGAGGGGGUCCAAUCUCAACCUGCAGUCCCUGAUGUUGGUACGGAGUUCUUUUCAGAAAAAUAGGCUCAAGAUUACUACAAUCGUUAUGCAAAAAACCAAUGUCACCAAGGAGUACAACAUAUAUGAGAUUGCUUGCUACUCCAAGCGCACAAGCUAGAAAAAAAAAGCAAUGUCACCAAGCGCCCAGACCUAUUGAUAUGAGGGGUGUGGAAGAAAUAUAGCACUAAGGGGUGUGGGAGAAAGAUAGCACUGAGGGAAAAAUACAACAUUUCAUUUUUUUUUUACAUUUGCUAAAUGAGACUUGUUCAUGUAAUAAUUCCUCUUUUUGGCUGAUUGGUGAACCAUGUUGCUUGAUACUAAAUUGAAAGCUUCCGAACAGUUGUGAUGUAUGGUCAGAAAAUGUCAAAUGUGGUUGCACUUGCCGAGAAAA